rnacentral:rRNA from 1 species
GACGAACGCUGGCGGCGUGCUUAACACAUGCAAGUCGAACGGAAAGGCCCCUUUGGGGGUACUCGAGUGGCGAACGGGUGAGUAACACGUGCGUAACCUGCCCUUGACUUCGGGAUAACUUCAGGAAACUGGGGCUAAUACCGGAUAGGAAUCCUUGCUGCAUGGUGGGGGUUGGAAAGCUUCGGCGGUUUUGGAUGGACUCGCGGCUUAUCAGCUUGUUGGUGGGGUAGUGGCUUACCAAGGCUUUGACGGGUAGCCGGCCUGAGAGGGCGACCGGGCACAUUGGGACUGAGAUACGGCCCAGACUCCUACGGGAGGCAGCAGUGGGGAAUAUUGCACAAUGGGCGGAAGCCUGAUGCAGCAACGCCGCGUGCGGGAUGACGGCCUUCGGGUUGUAAACCGCUUUCAGCAGGGGCGAAGCUUGUGGUGACGGUACCUGCAGAAGAAGCACCGGCUAACUACGUG